GUGUCAGCCGCCGCGGUAAUACGGAGGAUCCAAGCGUUAUCCGGAUUCAUUGGGUUUAAAGGGUGCGUAGGCGGAACGAUAAGUCAGUGGUGAAAGCCUGCAGCUUAACUGCAGAACUGCCAUUGAUACUGUCGAUCUUGAGUACAUUUGAUGUGGGCGGAAUGUGUCAUGUAGCGGUGAAAUGCUUAGAUAUGACACAGAACACCGAUUGCGAAGGCAGCUCACAAAACUGUAACUGACGCUGAGGCACGAAAGCGUGGGUAUCAAACAGGAUUAGAUACCCUGGUAGUCCACGCCGUAAACUAUGAUUACUCGAUGUUUGCGAUACACAGUAAGCGUCUAAGCGAAAGCGAUAAGUAAUCCACCUGGGGAGUACGCUCGCAAGAGUGAAACUUAAAUGAAUUGACGGGG
rnacentral:rRNA from 1 species